ACGCCAUUGCCUGCAAAGUCUUACCAAUAUGAGGCGGGCUGGACCUCUCGGGGUUACAGCCUUGCUGAAUUAUUCACCCUUGUCUUUUGCGUACUUCUUGUUUCCUUGGUGGGUUCGCCCACCACUAGGACAAACAUAAACCUUUUGUAAUUGCAAUCAGCGUCAGUAACAAAUUAAUAAUUACAACUUUCAACAACGGAUCUCUUGGUUCUGGCAUCGAUGAAGAACGCAGCGAAAUGCGAUAAGUAGUGUGAAUUGCAGAAUUCAGUGAAUCAUCGAAUCUUUGAACGCACAUUGCGCCCUUUGGUAUUCCAAAGGGCAUGCCUGUUCGAGCGUCAUUUGUACCCUCAAGCUUUGCUUGGUGUUGGGCGUCUUGUCUCUAGCUUUGCUGGAGACUCGCCUUAAAGUAAUUGGCAGCCGGCCUACUGGUUUCGGAGCGCAGCACAAGUCGCACUCUCUAUCAGCAAAGGUCUAGCAUCCAUUAAGCCUUUUUUUCAACUUUUGACCUCGGAUCAGGUAGGGAUACCCGCUGAACUUAAGCAUAUCAAUAAGCGGAGGAAAA
rnacentral:rRNA from 1 species